GGCAAAAUUAAGCAGUCCUUGAACACUGUGACUGCUGUUGACCAUCACGAGAAACGCUGAUGCUCUCAUCACUUUCAGAUAUGGCAUCUCUUCUCAUGGGUGCAAUAUGGAUCCCUAAAUAAUUUCUGCACAUCACUGAUUUUCAACAGGGAAUGUUUGGUGUUUUCCCGCUGCUACUAAACUCCAUGGCUAAAGAUCUGGGACACCUGGUGCCUUCUGUGCACACGCCAUGCAAUACCAAUCCCUUUGGAACAGGCCCUGUGAAAGAGACAAGAUGCAGCAGAGUCACCGGCCUGACACUUAAGCAGGAAAGUAUUACAGAGGUACCCCCUGGAGGCAACACCGUUUUCACAGUGCUUCAAUUAUUUUUGGUGAUGCCAGGAGUCAGAAGGCUUAUUUAAUCUCGGAGAUGAACUUUGUAAACAAAAGCUCAGCUUCACUUUCCACUUUCUGCUUCUGGCCCCUUGUCCAUCGCACCCAGGACGCAGGGCUCACACAGGUGACCUCCAUUGCUCCAAUCGGAUGAAGAAACACGGGAGUCUUAGCUAGGAGUGAAGACAGCUGACAUGGGCAUGGAUGGACGUGUAUUGGCUGAGGUGUGCUUUCCGAGAGACUGAAGAGCAGAGCAUAAUGGAUAUCCCUCCUUGAGAGGAAAUCUAACGAUGGUGUUUCACAGCUAUGUACAACACUCCUAAUUCCUCACAAGAUAACAAGCCUAUUGGCCACUUAGGAAGAACCUACUCUUGCUACCAAAGAGAUCUCAUCCACUCUGGUAUCCAUUUCCAUCUUCUGAGACUUGUCUUGACCCCAGUCAGGUGAGUAAUAUUGUAUCAUGGGGACUGACGGUAAAGAGAAAGUCAAGGAAUUGAGUGCAAGAGUAAGACUGGGUCCUUCAAUUUGUGUCUCUUUUACAGUUAUGGUCUAUGAUUCCCACUGUAAGUCUAUAAGUUUUUAUUUUUAAUCCCAUGUAUAUGAGGGGGGGAUGAGGGCUAUGGCAUAUAAGGUCAGGUGCAUGCAGCACAAACUCAUAACUGUUGAACCAUCUCUCCAGCCCCCAUUUGUUUCUCUCAAAGAGUAUGAAACAGGAAAUCACAGGAACAACAACUUUAUUUUAUGUUAGCCAGGCUGCAGUACAGUCCUUAGAGAUGAAACGAUGGCAUCAUGUUCUUUAGUAGUGUUAGUGUUCUUCCUGGCUUUGUUUGAGAUAGAUGUUAGAAUGGGUAUGCCCUCCCCCAAAUGAUUGCACUGAGAUUACACCCAGCUUAAAGGAGAUUUGCUGAUGAGUCUGCGGCUUAGUACUGUUCAUGGCAAUUAUCUUUGUUUUGAAAUCAAUAGAAUUGAGUGAAACAUUUUAGAUAUGUGCUGAACUAACCCCCUUCAAUUAAUGGAGCAACUGAGCACUUUCUAUAUACCAGAUACUAGAAAAAUAUAAAUUCAUUAGCCUUUUCUUUAUUUGUAUGAAACAAUUACAAAGAAUAACUAAGUGGGGGGCUGGUGAGAUAGAACAACUCUUACCAGCAUGUGUUGCUUUUCCAAGAAGUCCCAGGUUGAGUUUCUGGCACCUGCAUGGUGGUUGACAACCACCUGUAACUCCAGUUACGGGGGAUGCAAACUUACUUCUACUUCCAUGGAUGUCAAACAUGCAAGCGAUUCAUAGUAUAUAUUCAGGUAAAAAAACACUCAUACAAAAGAUCAAAUAAAAUGCAAAUUUUUGAAGUGAUUAAGGAGGGAAAACAACAAAAGGACACAAGAGUACGUGCAAAUAAGAUAAAAUGGGAUUUGAU